CACUCCUGCGGGAGGCAGCAGAGGGGAAUUUUGGACAAUGGGCGAAAGCCUGAUCCAGCCAUGCCGCGUGCAGGAUGAAGGCCUUCGGGUUGUAAACUGCUUUUGUACGGAACGAAACGGCCUUUUCUAAUAAAGAGGGCUAAUGACGGUACCGUAAGAAUAAGCACCGGCUAACUACGUGCCAGCAGCCGCGGUAAUACGUAGGGUGCAAGCGUUAAUCGGAAUUACUGGGCGUAAAGCGUGCGCAGGCGGUUAUGUAAGACAGUUGUGAAAUCCCCGGGCUCAACCUGGGAACUGCAUCUGUGACUGCAUAGCUAGAGUACGGUAGAGGGGGAUGGAAUUCCGCGUGUAGCAGUGAAAUGCGUAGAUAUGCGGAGGAACACCGAUGGCGAAGGCAAUCCCCUGGACCUGUACUGACGCUCAUGCACGAAAGCGUGGGGAGCAAACAGGAUUAGAUACCCUGGUAGUCC
rnacentral:rRNA from 1 species